rnacentral:rRNA from 1 species
GAGUUUGAUCAUGGCUCAGAAUGAACGCUGGCGGCGUGCUUAACACAUGCAAGUCGUACGAGAACUCUUUAGCUUGCUAAGGAUAGUAAAGUGGCGUACGGGUGAGUAACGCGUGGGUAAUCUACCCCUGAAUCUGGAAUAACAUUGCGAAAGCGAUGCUAAUACCGGAUAAUAUCUGAAUUAGACUUCUUUUUCAGAUCAAAGGUGGCCUCUAUGAAUAAGCUACUGUUUGGGGAUGAGCCCGCGUACCAUUAGCUAGUUGGUAGGGUAAUGGCCUACCAAGGCAACGAUGGUUAGCUGGUCUGAGAGGAUGAUCAGCCACACUGGAACUGACACACGGUCCAGACUCCUACGGGAGGCAGCAGUGAGGGAUUUUGCGCAAUGGGGGAAACCCUGACGCAGCAACGCCGCGUGAGUGAUGAAGGCUUUAGGGUCGUAAAGCUCUGUCGAGUGGGAAGAACAAAAAAGGUUAUAAUACACCUUUUUCUGACGGUACCACCAAAGGAAGCACCGGCUAACUCCGUGCCAGCAGCCGCGGUAAUACG